GUUUCAUCGAGAUCGAGCCAUCCGCUCUCGGUGGCUCAGUCCCCUCCACGACUCCGCCCCCAAUCUUAUACAUCGCGGCGAACGGCGGCGCUGGUCUCGUGCCAUACCUCGAUCGACUCUGCUUCAUGAGAAGGCCCGCGGUGGCGCCAUGAGAGGAGCAGCGGUGCGGCGGCGCUGGUGGUCGCGCCAUUAGAGGUCUCCCAGCUAUGACUGCGGGCUUCACCAGCAGGUCUCCCAGCUGCUGGAGGCAUGCAUUCUCGUAGCAUCAUCAGCGGAGGCGGCGCUUGAGGGUGGUCGUCGGGAUGCCGGGGCUAAGGUCGGCGGCGUCGAAGACGGUAAUUAUAGCCGAUUGGAAUGAUUACGGUUACAGUUGGCAACCAAACAAAGUUUCAUUUUUCUCCAUUCCCUUUACAGUACCGCUGUGACCUGAUUCCAUUUACGAUUGCGCUACCUUUGGUGAACCAAAUACCUCUUCCUCCGUCCAGAAGAAAGAGAGGGGAAGGAAAUAUCUCCCCAGAAUUCCAGAUACACCCUCCCCUGGCGCAAUGCCCUUCCUUCCUCGCACGCGACCUUCUCGUCUCCCUCACCAUCGCGUCUUCUCCGUCGCGCGCCCGCGGCCGGUCGGCAAGCAAGGAAGGCCCGUGGCCGGGUGGCGGUCCGUACUGGAUCCCGCCAUCAUCACCAGCAGCUGCCUCAUCCCGUCCCGCGCGCGCCGUAAUCUGCGGGUGAGGAAGAGGAUACCGGCGAAGAGGACGAGGACAUCCUCCUCGAUAUGUAAGCCGCUAUUAGUUUGCUUGAUCUGGCCCAAUCCGAUUGUUCUCGGCUUUGAUCUAAGUUUGACGCGCCUGGUUCGGUGCUUCUUGGUGAUGAGCCAAGGAGCUCGCUGCGUGCGUGGAGAUCGUCCACCAGCAGAGGGCCCAAGAACCAGGCCUGCCGAGAACGCACGAGCGCCACUGCGCCAGCACGUUUGCCGCACCCCCGUCACCUGUGCCCAUCCUCCUCGGCUCGUUUUUGUCUUCGUUAGGCAGGUGCCUAUCUUUGGUGUUGAUUUAUGCUCACAUUCCUGUCAACGCUUUGGUCUGUAGGUUAAGAAAGCGAGCCCAAAGAAGUAAUGCGUCGAGCUAAACAACGGCAUUGUGGCACCGCGAUCCACUUCUCGGUAAGUUGAUGGACUGCGUUAGCCAAUCACUAUGUGUGUUUUCCUCGAUUUACUUUCAGUUCGUCCUAGUCAUAUUGUGAUUGUUUCAGUACUUCAUGAUGAUGAGGUAUGAGACCAUGAUAUACUAGCAUGUUAUUUAAAUCUCAAUGGGACCAGGUCAAUGAACCAUUGGUGUACCAACAUUUAAGCAAGCAAGUUUUACUCAUUUUCAUUUUUAGCACAUAGUUUUCAGCAAAUUGUUCUGGCUGCGCAACUUGUGAGAGUCCAUGCCAAUGUAAGUCUUGCAAUUCGCUUUACUAUUUCUGAAAUAUGCAGCUAGACUCAGUUACAGUGUCUUGCCUUCGAAUGAGAGUUGAGAGCUACAAUAUUUGCCAUGUAGCUGCAUGAGUGUCAAUUUUUGUUACCAUAUAUGGACGUAUUUGAUGUCGCUUGGAUUCAGAGGUUCUGUACCAGGCAUAAAAAAUAGAAGAUGACACAUGAACACACAUUCAAGUGUAGAUAGAAAUAUACUGGUGGUGCAUUGUCACAUGUAUGAUGUAUGCUAUAUCUGUAAUCCAAGCUUUGGUUACAUUGUGGUGGAGCAUUGUCGCCUCACAUUUCUGUCAGGCUUUGGUUAGUAACAACUUGUUUAUUCAGGUCAUACCAGUUUUUUGGUCUUUGCAUUUGUGCUUUUUCCUUUAGGAAGUCAUUGCCUUUUUGCUAGGUGUUCAUUACUGCAAGAUCUGAAGUCGAGAUCUCAAUUUAAAGUAGCGCUUAAUUACCGACAGUAAAAUAAUUCGUCAUCAUGAGAUUCUUCUAAUGUCUGUUUGCCAUCAGUUUUAAGGCCAUGCCAUCUUAUUAUUCUUUGAUCGCCUCAAUGCACAAGCUAGUGGUGCACCGGUAGUUUAGCGUUAGCUGGCUAAUGGACAUUUUUUCCAUGUAAUUUUAACGGUAACAGUCACACUAAUGAAUUGAAUUAGAUAAUGAUCCCAAACUGUACUUUUUCCUAUUACUGUGUUUAACUAGCUUACUAACUUUUAUGUAUUAUUAUAAGUGAUUUUUUUCCUUUUCCAAGGUGCAACUUCUAAUGCAUUUUCUAUUCCAUUAGGUUGCAUCUCCUCAUGUCUUCUUUCAUGUGCUAUAAAUAUAAAUAUAUGUGCUACACUACCUUUGGACCAACAGGGUGAUCCUCGUUAUCACUACAAUCAGUUUAAAUAUUUUUGUUGUUGUAAUACAUGCCUAGCGUCUUCUAUACAUGUGCCUCCUAUAAAUGCUCAUGUACACAACUGACCGAACAAGCCAGCUGAAUGGGCGGCAGCAAACCAGGCACCACACGGUCACGCCUCAGGAGGCGCCACCGGACGGCGCCCCAACCACUAGCUCAUAUGUAAGCGCAUGCAUGAUUGCAUCAAUUAUGAUCAGAUUCACAUCUUUUCCCAUGCAUUAGCUACAUCUUCUUUCUAUUUUGCCUAAAUGAUUCUUGAUAAAAUUAAAGGUCAUGCUGAAGAUUUUUCUUCUUCUCUUAUGCCACCUUUUACAUCUUGAUGUUCGCUGAUCCAUAAAAAACCAAGCAUGCAUGCAUCGUACUACUUAUUAUUCCGCAUGCCAUAUGUACACUGGUAGAUGUCAUAAGUGCAUGCACCCAUACUUAAGUUUUUUCUGAGCACGAUACAAUCAUAGAUGCUCACAUACACUCACUUGUAUGAACACAUGCACACACAUCCUACUGCUAGCAGCGCUCUAAGAUACUGAACUGGCAUACCAUUUGAGAUUGAUGAAAUCACCAUAGAUGCCUCGUAGUAGAUGGGAACAUAUCCUCUCAGAACAAACAUCGUCAUGUGGCACUUGUGGUAAGCAGCCAAACUUGAUGAGGAAAGACUUAAAUAAAUCUAGAAAAUUGCGAGCACCGGUGUAAUUCCACCGCAAGAUUUUAUUUUUUUUUGUGGAAAAGGUGGAUUGAAAAAGUAACCAUUUGAGUUGUGCUCAAUUCGCUAUUUAAAUUAGCAUAACAUAUUCUACAGUGAAUGUGUACGGAUGAUCCGUUGUUGUAUCCUGUUCUGGCAUCUAACUGAUUCACACAUUUUACUAGUAUGUAUGCACGUGCAAUGCAUGUUUUAACAUUAUGGGGGUGAUUUUGAUAGGGAAAACAUAGACUUGCUAAUAGAUUCAAGGGGAAUUUUUUUGUUGAUGUAUAGAUGCAGAAAUGAAUUAUAUUAUAAAGAAAAUUGGAACUAUUAUAUGCAAUCCCCGCAAUUUGCUAACAAAGAAUCCCCAAAAAAUGUUAAUACAGAAAAGAAUUAAAAAUGGAAUUUUAUUUUAUUUAUAUGUUUCUCCCCCAUAACGAACUUUUUUUGGGCUCAACGCGUUGUCAACCUCAGUCUGCAACAUCGCUGGUCCAAGAGGAAUCAGUAUGGGCCAUGUCUCUUGAGAAGGAUGAGGCGUUCUAGAACAUGGUGGAUGCAACAAUCAUGCACUAUUCACUGCAAAUCCCACUACUUUCAACCGAUGGAUUUAGGAUAUGAAUGGAUAGAAUUGAUGAUCAGCUUCUAUUCAAAACUGCUACACUAUAUAGUAGUAUAGAUAUAAAUAAAAGGACACGCAGAAUAAUAAAGAAAUUGGUCAAGUCAUGUUAACUCGGCCCGUGAUAUAUGGCAACUAAUUGUGUAGUACGUACGCAAGCAUGCAUGAUUGCACGAAUCAUGAUACGAUCAACGUAUUUUCAUAUCACUUGCUACAUCUUCUUUCUGAUCCUUUUCCUUUGUUUUCUUUUAUCAUUGUGGCGCUUGGACGGAUGACGAUACUUCUUCUUUGGGUUUCUAUUCCAGGCUCUUAUCCUCUUUGAGUUCGUCAAUCUACUAGUAGUCGAGAGAGCUCCGACGUAAAUCCAUGCCGUCUCCUUGGGGCGAUGAGGUUACGGUUUCUCGUCAUAUGGCGAGAUUUGGUGGCAGGUGCUUCAGAUCUAUGAAAUGGUUCAAUAGCGACAACUACGGCCCCAGGACGCUGGUCCUUACAUGCACGUACAUGAAGACUUCCCGGUUGUCAUCGUCAAGGUCAAACUGGCUCCCGUAGGGGAGCGGCGACAGCGGCGCAUUGGCUGCUCGUUCUGUUAGUAGUGGUGAUUGUUCGGUGGUCUCAGAAUCUCGAUGUAAUUUUUAUUAUGUUUGAGAUGCUUUGUACUUCGGAUGAACUUUUAUAAUAGAUCUGAUCCUUUUCAAAAAAAUAGAAUAAAUAAUAUUUUCCCUUCAUGGUGGUGGGUCAUUUUUUAUAUAUGGUUGCAUGCUGAGGUGGACCUUAUCCUAUCCACUAUAUGAUGAUGUGGCAUGCUUACAUAUUGCGAUAAAUAAG